UACAGAGGUCCCGAGCGUUGUUCGGAUUCAUUGGGCGUAAAGGGUGCGUAGGCGGCUGGGUAAGUUUGAUGUGAAAUCCUGGGGCUCAACCCUGGAACUGCAUUGAAUACUGCUCGGCUAGAGUACUGGAGAGGAAACUGGAAUUCACGGUGUAGCAGUGAAAUGCGUAGAUAUCGUGAGGAAGACCAGUGGCGAAGGCGAGUUUCUGGACAGGUCCUGACGCUGAGGCACGAAAGCUAGGGGAGCAAACAGG
rnacentral:rRNA from 1 species